rnacentral:tRNA from 1 species
GGUUGUGUAGCUCAGUGGUAGAGCACUUGCCUGGCAUGUGUGAGGCACUGGGUUCCAUCCUCAGCAUCACCU